GAAAUGCGAUAAGUAAUGUGAAUUGCAGAAUUCAGUGAAUCAUCGAAUCUUUGAACGCACAUUGCGCCCGCCAGUAUUCUGGCGGGCAUGCCUGUUCGAGCGUCAUUUCAACCAUCAAGCCCCCGGCUUGUGUUGGGGACCUGCGGCUGCCCGCAGGCCCUGAAACACAGUGGCGGGCUCGCUGUCACACCGAGCGUAGUAGCAUACAUUCUCGCUCAGGGCGUGCUGCGGGUUCCGGCCGUUAAACGACCUUCAUAACCCAAGGUUGACCUCGGAUCAGGUAGGAAGACCCGCUGAACUUAAGC
rnacentral:misc_RNA from 1 species